rnacentral:rRNA from 1 species
UCGAGAAUUUUUCACAAUGGACGAAAGUCUGAUGGAGCGACGCCGCGUGGAGGAUGAAGGUUUUCGGAUUGUAAACUCCUGUCACUGCAGAACAAGGCGAUGUUAGUUAACAGCCAAUGUCGUUGAUGGUAUGCGGAGAGGAAGGGACGGCUAACUCUGUGCCAGCAGCCGCGGUAAGACAGAGGUCCCGAGCGUUGUUCGGAUUCAUUGGGCGUAAAGGGUGUGUAGGAGGCUAGGUAAGUCAGGUGUGAAAUCUCAGAGCUUAACUCUGAAACUGCGCUUGAUACUGCUUGGCUAGAGGAUCGGAGGGGGUAUCGGAAUUCAUGGUGUAGCAGUGAAAUGCGUAGAUAUCAUGAGGAACACCGGUGGCGAAGGCGGAUACCUGGAAGAUUCCUGACUCUGAAACACGAAAGCUAGGGGAGCAAACGGGAUUAGAUACCCCCGUAGUCC